rnacentral:rRNA from 1 species
AUGUGGUUUAAUUCGAAGCAACGCGAAGAACCUUACCAGGCCUUGACAUGCAGAGAACUUUCCAGAGAUGGAUUGGUGCCUUCGGGAACUCUGACACAGGUGCUGCAUGGCUGUCGUCAGCUCGUGUCGUGAGAUGUUGGGUUAAGUCCCGUAACGAGCGCAACCCUUGUCCUUAGUUACCAGCACGUUAUGGUGGGCACUCUAAGGAGACUGCCGGUGACAAACCGGAGGAAGGUGGGGGAUGACGUCAAGUCAUCAUGGCCCUUACGGCCUGGGCUACACACGUGCUACAAUGGUCGGUACAAAGGGUUGCCAAGCCGCGAGGUGGAGCUAAUCCCAUAAAACCGAUCGUAGUCCGGAUCGCAGUCUGCAACUCGACUGCGUGAAGUCGGAAUCGCUAGUAAUCGUGAAUCAGAAUGUCACGGUGAAUACGUUCCCGGGCCUU